rnacentral:rRNA from 1 species
UUAUUACGGGUUAAGCCUGCCCACUGACAAGAUUUUAACGGCCGCAGUACCCUGACUGUGCAAAGGUAGCAUAAUCAUUUGUCUUAUAAUUGAGGACUAGAAUGAAUGGUUUCAUGUAGGCAUAACUGUCUCUUUUGUGUUGCUAAAAAUUAAUUUUUUGGUUAAAAAGCCAACAUAUUAUUAUUAGACGAGAAGACCCUACUGAGCUUAAUUUAUAAACUUUAAAUGCUUAAAAAUAAAAAUUUGGUUGGGGUGACAAAGGAACUAUUUUUACCUUCCUUUCUAAUUUUCAUAAUAAUUUUUACUACGAUCCAUUUUUAAUGAUCAAAUAACAAGUUACCAUAGGGAUAACAGCAUAAUUCUUUUUAAGAGCUCACAUCGAAAAAAGAGUUUGUGACCUCGAUGUUGGACUAAGGUACAUUAAAAGCGCAACCGUUUUUAAUUAUAGUCUGUUCGACUAGCUU